rnacentral:rRNA from 1 species
UACGUAGGGGGCAAGCGUUGUCCGGAAUCAUUGGGCGUAAAGAGCGUGUAGGCGGCCCGAUAAGUCCGCUGUGAAAGUCCAGGGCUCAACCCUGGGAUGCCGGUGGAAACUGUCGGGCUGGAGUCCGGAAGAGGCGAGUGGAAUUCCUGGUGUAGCGGUGAAAUGCGCAGAUAUCAGGAGGAACACCAAUGGCGAAGGCAGCUCGCUGGGACGGUACUGACGCUGAGGCGCGAAAGCGUGGGGAGCAAACAGG